CCCUAUCCAGCCCACAACUCACGACCCGUUACCCACCUAUACCACUUAUAACACAAAAACAAAGAUAACCCUAAAUCCAAAGACCCAAACGACGAAAAACAUUGUUCUUCUUCUCCAAAGCCAAAUCCAUUCCCAAAACUCGCCGAAUUUCAGGCGAGUGAAACCCAAACUCGCACCUCACAUUUUCCCUUCUCUCCUCCUACCAUAUUACAGUCAUUUCUGAUAGAUUCCCCUUUCCUCACAUGGUUCUUCGAUUUAUCUCGGAUUUUUUCACCCUUCAAAUAAAAAUUAGGAAAAAUUAAGAGCGGUAGAUUGGAUUUGAGCUAAUCUACUCCCUCCAUUUGUCCUUCUUUCAUCAGACAGGGUAAGAAAUCAAUUUGGGAGAGGAUUUUUUGUUUUUGGGAGAUUUCUUGGGGAGAAAGGGAGAAGAUUCGAGAAGGUUUGAAAGCCUAUAUAGGAGGAGCUUUAUAUUCAGAGACGGGAGGUUUNNN
rnacentral:lncRNA from 1 species